rnacentral:rRNA from 1 species
AUUCCAGCUCCAAUAGCGUAUAUUAAUGUUGUUGCAGUUAAAAAGCUCGUAGUUGGAUUUCUGGUUGGACCGCGAUGCCGGACUCGCAAGGGUUCGUGAUUGUUGUGGUUUCCUUCCAUCCUCAGGUUUGCGCGUGCUGGCCUUAACUGGUCGGUGUGUGUGGUCCUGUCGUUUACUGUGAACAAAUUAGAGUGUUCAAAGCAAGGUGUACUUGAAUACAUUAGCAUGGAAUAAUAAGAUAGGACUUUGGUGGUUCUUUUUGAUAUUUUGUUGGUUUGCACGCCAAAGUAAUGAUUAAUAGGAGCAGUUGGGGGUAUUCGUAUUCAAUUGUCAGAGGUGAUGUUCUUGGAUUUAUAGAAGACGAACUACUGCGAAAGCAUUUACCAAGGAUGUUUUCAUCG